rnacentral:lncRNA from 1 species
GGAUAAGGGUAGAUGGCGAUGCAUGAAGCAAUCGACUUACAAGGUUGAUGGUGAUGCAUAAAGCAAUCGACUUACAAGGUUGAUGGAGAUGCAUAAAGCAAUCGACUUACAAGGUAAAUGGAUGAAUACAUGAUGGUUCUGUUAAGUUUUGAAAAAUGAUUACUCGACGUUGAAUCGAGGUUUUGAUCUUGUUAUGAAAUGGUUAUCGGAUGUUCAUUUUAUUUCUUGUAUUAACAGAUGAAUGAAGAAUGAGA